AUUGAACGCUGGCGGCAGGCUUAACACAUGCAAGUCGAACGAUGAUUAUCUAGCUUGCUAGAUAUGAUUAGUGGCGGACGGGUGAGUAACAUUUAGGAAUCUGCCUAGUAGUGGGGGAUAGCUCGGGGAAAUUCGAAUUAAUACCGCAUACGACCUACGGGUGAAAGGGGGCGCAGGCUCUUGCUAUUAGAUGAGCCUAAAUCAGAUUAGCUAGUUGGAGGGGUAAAGGCCCACCAAGGCAACGAGCUGUAACUGGUCUGAGAGGAUGAUCAGUCACUCCGGAACUGAGACACGGUCCGGACUCCUACGUGAGGCAGCAGUGGGGAAUAUUGGACAAUGGGGGCAACCCUGAUCCAGCCAUGCCGCGUGUGUGAAGAAGGCCUUUUGGUUGUAAAGCACUUUAAGCAGGGAGGAGAGGCUAAUGGUUAAUACCCAUUAGAUUAGACGUUACCUGCAGAAUAAGCACCGGCUAACUCUGUGCCAGCCGCCGCCGUAAUAC
rnacentral:rRNA from 1 species